CUGUGAGUGUGUGUGUGUUCAUUAGUAUUUGUGUUAAAUAAUGUUUAAACAUUUUUUUAAUUCGCACAAACUUUAAUGCGUUGCAGUUCAGCAAAAGCUACAACGCCAGCAACCUGCCAACAACAACAAAAACAACAACAACAACAACUCAUGCGGUGCCCAAAAGCCAACGUAAGCUUUAGCCGCCCCGCAAGAAGAGCAGCAGCAAAAGAAAAUCAACAACAACAACAACAACAACAGCAGCAGCAACAGCAACAACAACAACAAAAGCAAAAAGUUAACGGGAGCAACGGCGCCAUUCGGCGCAGCUCUCAAAUUCUCAGGAGUUGCUAUUGCUGCACGCAUUAACAUUGGAUUAGUCCCCACCCCGCACCCCAACAUUCCCCCAGCUCUGAGGUACUCAUGUAGGGGCAUUAAAAGCAAUUGUGGAACAGCAACAACAACACCAACAACAAUAACAACAUCGACAGUAACGGGACAUGGAUAUUCAUAUGAAAAAACUAACAAAACCACGGUACUGCAACUUCAAAUUUGUUACACAAACUACACACACACAAAGCAAUAAAAAGACUUACAUGUAAUCAAAAUAACAAGAACAAAUGUAACCAAAAUCGGCAUUUAUACUGAAAAGGCUGUUAAAAACAAAAAAACAAAAAAACAAAAAAAAAAAAACAAAUCGUUCAUAAAUUUUUUUACUUAAACGCAACGAACUAACAAAAUAGACACGCCAAGUGCUUCCAAAACUGUAUAAAAGGCCGGUGCCUGCAACAGAAAGAGAGAAAGAGAGAGAGAGAGAGAGAAAGAGAGCGAAGAUAGAGACACAUACACACACGCACACACACUGAGAGCAACAGCAGCAGCUUUGACAGCGAGCCGCAAAUGAUAGCGAAAAUGUUGCGGCCACACACAAGGGCAGCAACAACAGCAACAACAACAACAGCAACAACAGCAACAACAACAACAAGAAAGGCAAACACAGCACAGAAAGAAAUUCAAGAGAGCAACAACAAACAAUACAAAUCGCCGCGACGCCGCUUCUGCCAUCACAAGGGCAAAAUCACAACGAUAACAUAGGCGCGUCAAAGCAACAGAAAGAGAGUGAGAGAGAGAGCAUUGGGAGAGCGAAAGAACGAGCGCGACAAACUUUUACAAACACUUUCUGUUUAACCCUAUA